rnacentral:rRNA from 1 species
AAUAGAUACCCUGGUAGUCCACGCCCUAAACGAUGCGAACUGGAUGUUGGGUUCAACUUGGAACCCCAGUAUCGAAGCUAACGCGUUAAGUUCGCCGCCUGGGGAGUACGGUCGCAAGACUGAAACUCAAAGGAAUUGACGGGGGCCCGCACAAGCGGUGGAGUAUGUGGUUUAAUUCGAUGCAACGCGAAGAACCUUACCUGGUCUUGACAUCCACGGAACUUUCCAGAGAUGGAUUGGUGCCUUCGGGAACCGUGAGACAGGUGCUGCAUGGCUGUCGUCAGCUCGUGUCGUGAGAUGUUGGGUUAAGUCCCGCAACGAGCGCAACCCUUGUCCUUAGUUGCCAGCACGUAAUGGUGGGAACUCUAAGGAGACCGCCGGUGACGAAACCGGAGGAAGGUGGGGAUGGACGUCAAGUCAUCAUGGCCCCUUACGACCAGGGCUACACACGUACUACAAUGGUGGGGACAGAGGGCCGCAAUCCCGCGAGGGUGAGCCCAAUCCCAGGAAACCCCAUCUCAGUCCGGAUCGGAGUCUGCAACUCGACUCCGUGAACG